rnacentral:rRNA from 1 species
AGUGGCGGACGGGUGAGGAAUACAUCGGAAUCUACUUUUUCGUGGGGGAUAACGUAGGGAAACUUACGCUAAUACCGCAUACGACCUACGGGUGAAAGCAGGGGAUCUUCGGACCUUGCGCGAUUGAAUGAGCCGAUGUCGGAUUAGCUAGUUGGCGGGGUAAAGGCCCACCAAGGCGACGAUCCGUAGCUGGUCUGAGAGGAUGAUCAGCCACACUGGAACUGAGACACGGUCCAGACUCCUACGGGAGGCAGCAGUGGGGAAUAUUGGACAAUGGGCGCAAGCCUGAUCCAGCCAUACCGCGUGGGUGAAGAAGGCCUUCGGGUUGUAAAGCCCUUUUGUUGGGAAAGAAAUCCAGCUGGUUAAUACCCGGUUGGGAUGACGGUACCCAAAGAAUAAGCACCGGCUAACUUCGUGCCAGCAGCCGCGGUAAUACGAAGGGUGCAAGCGUUACUCGGAAUUACUGGGCGUAAAGCGUGCGUAGGUGGUUGUUUAAGUCUGUUGUGAAAGCCCUGGGCUCAACCUGGGAACUGCAGUGGAAACUGGACGACUAGAGUGUGGUA